CACCGCCCGUCACACCAUGAGAGCCGGGGGGACCCGAAGUCGGUAGUCUAACCGCAAGGAGGACGCCGCCGAAGGUAAAACUGGUGAUUGGGGUGAAGUCGUAACAAGGUAGCCGUAGGAGAACCUGCGGCUG
rfam:Faecalibacterium prausnitzii A2-165 genomic scaffold Scfld0, whole genome shotgun sequence.